rnacentral:rRNA from 1 species
AACGAACGCUGGCGGCAGGCUUAACACAUGCAAGUCGAGCGCCCCGCAAGGGGAGCGGCAGACGGGGCAGUAACGCGUGGGAAUCUACCCAUCUCUACGGAAUAACGCCUGGAAACGUGUGCUAAUACCGUAUACGUCCUUCGGGAGAAAGAUUUAUCGGAGAGGGAUGAGCCCGCGUUGGAUUAGCGAGUUGGUGGGGUAAAGGCCUACCAAGGCGACGAUCCAGAGCUGGUCUGAGAGGAUGAUCAGCCACACUGGGACUGAGACACGGCCCAGACUCCUACGGGAGGCAGCAGUGGGGAAUAUUGGACAAUGGGCGCGAGCCUGAUCCAGCCAUGCCGCGUGAGUGAUGAAGGCCCUAGGGUUGUAAAGCUCUUUCACCGGUGAAGAUAAUGACGGUAACCGGAGAAGAAGCCCCGGCUAACUUCGUGCCAGCAGCCGCAGUAACAC